UGUCACUGCUCACCUCUGCUGCACUCUGAAGAUGAUAAACUGGGGAGACCCAGAUUGCAGACCAGCAACCUGGGGAAGCCGUCCGGGUCCUCUCCAUGAUGGAUCGUCUUCCCCCUUCAUCAUUCCAAGCCAUGUUGAUUCUCCCGCACUCUAGCUGAUGUGAGAACGAGUUAUACAGGCAUUCAGCCACUCCUGCCGGCCAUAGCUUCUGGCCCAGCACCAGGGACCACGCUGCAAUUAGCCUCUGGGUUUGGCAUCUUGUGCCAGGUGAUGGUGA